rnacentral:rRNA from 1 species
GAUGAACGCUGGCGGCGUGCUUAAUACAUGCAAGUCGAGCGGAAAGGCGCUGCGUUUGUGGGGUGCUCGAUUGGCGAACGGGUGUGUAACACGUGAGUAACAUGCCCUUGAAUUUGGGGGAACAUCAGGAGACUGGGGCUAUGAUCGGAGAUGAGCUCCUGCUGCGUGGGGGGGGAUGGAGAGAUUCGGCGGUUGUGGAUGGACUUGCGGGUUAUCAGCUUGUUGGGGGGGUAGCGGCGUCCCAAGGUUUGGACGGGUAGCCGGCCUGAGAGGGUGACCGGGCACAUUGGCACUGAGAUACGGCCAAGACUCAUACGGGAGGCAGCAGUGGGAACUAUUGCACAAUAGGCGGCGGCAUGAUGCAGCAACGCCGCGUGCGGGAUGACGGCCUUCGGGUUGUAACCCGCUUUCGCCUGUGACGAAGCGUCAGUGACGGUAAUGAGUAAAGAAGCACCGCCUACCUACGU